rnacentral:rRNA from 1 species
CCUACGGGAGGCAGCAGUGGGGAAUAUUGCACAAUGGGCGCAAGCCUGAUGCAGCCAUGCCGCGUGUGUGAAGAAGGCUUUCGGGUUGUAAAGCACUUUCAGCGGGGAGGAAGGCGGUGAGGUUAAUAACCUCAUCGAUUGACGUUACCCGCAGAAGAAGCACCGGCUAACUCCGUGCCAGCAGCCGCGGUAAUACGGAGGGUGCAAGCGUUAACCGGAAUUACUGGGCGUAAAGCGCACGCAGGCGGUCUGUCAAGUCGGAUGUGAAAUCCCCGGGCUCAACCUGGGAACUGCAUUCGAAACUGGCAGGCUAGAGUCUUGUAGAGGGGGGUAGAAUUCCAGGUGUAGCGGUGAAAUGCGUAGAGAUCUGGAGGAAUACCGGUGGCGAAGGCGGCCCCCUGGACAAAGACUGACGCUCAGGUGCGAAAGCGUGGGGAGCAAACAGGAUUAGAUACCCCGGUAGUC